ensembl:lncRNA
AGCUGUUGGUUGUGUUUGUGACAGAUUAAGCUAGCUGUACCACAAUAAGUAACUUUAGCGCAUCGUUUAACCUCCAGCGUCAGCCUAUAGCCUCUGAACUGGAAAACACAGCAAGUCAAACUAACGAUUAUCCAUAUCCACAUAAUACCUUCAUCCUCCUCCUCCUCCUCCUCCUCCUCCUCCUCCUCCCCAAUUAUAUCUAACACCAGUAGGUGGAAUCAACGGUGCUCGAUAGUUAAGAUGGUGGGUUUAUUUUCUACACAUAAACCGUUUUGAGCCCUAAUGGGGACUGGUUUAAUGAGGACCACAGCCUGAAGACAGCCCUGAUGUCUUUACCGUCUGUACAUGGCCUCUAUAGAAGGACUCCGAGAACACUCCACCAUAGAUUGUGUUAUAUCAAACAAAGUGUGUUUGAUCGAAAUGUAUGUUAAGGCGAACACGUGUUAAACAACAAUAUUAUACCAAAUAUUAGAGAAGAUCCAACAGAGAGAUGUGAUGCUUGAAUAGAUGUUGAGAGAAGAGUGAGGGAUGGACGGUUGAGCUUCAAGCAACACCGAUAGAAAGGGGGAGCGGUUCCAAUCCAUUCCAGGAUAUCAGCCAAAAUAAGUUGUGGGUCAAUAGUGGCAAUAAGAGUUUACAUCACGGCUUGAUGGCCAUCAUUCCCCCCCCAAAGUCAACUUAAUCAUCUAACACCCAGACUACCUUCCCCCACUGUCAGAUACAUCCCCUGGAAAAACCCACGCACACUUGGCUCUGACGUCCGAGAAGCACAAUAUAACGCAUGAAAGUAGCCAAAGGGAAUUUCCGUGACCUUGACUACCGACCCAAUUUAGAAUCCUAUGUCCAACAGAUGUUGCCAUCUGGUGAGCUGACUGUGAUCCGUAAAAGAUCGACCUGCCCAGAGCUAGCCCUCUGCUGGGAACAGGCUGGAGACCAAAUGAGACGAAGCCCCUUCAGUCUUUGUGAAUCUCUCCGAGCAUGUCGGCUGUAGAGGCUAACGCCCAUGCCUAGCCAGUGUCCCCAGAGGCCGGAUCACGGAGCAAAAACACAGCUGGAGAACGUUUGCUCUGUCUCUGCUGAGCCCUCUAAGCCCCUGAGACUCUUUCAGACACUGUUGUGUGGGUCUGACAUCCUCGUGCAAAUGACUGUGUAACUGAGAUUAGCUGGUAGCACUGAGGCUACAAGUUAGAGCCUAGGUUGGCUGGAAAAACUGGGGCUAACUGUUAGCGCUGAUGUUCGCUGGUAGCACUGAGUCUAGUUGUUUAGCGCUGAGGUUAGCUGGAAGCACCGAUGAUAGCUGAUAACAAGGAGGCUAGCCGUAAGCACUGAGGAUAGCUGUCGGCUCUGAGGCUAGCUGUAAGCACUGAGGCUAGCUGUUAGCUCUGAGGUUAGCUAGCACUGAGGUCAGUUAUCUGGUAAAUCUUAGCUGCAAAUUCUUCUCAUCUUCAACCCUCCCGCCCCUCCUCUCUGCACUGUCUAGCUUUCCAUACUCUUCCUCCCCCUUUAUCUUCCCUCCUCACCCUCUUCCUCUCCUCCUCCUCCUCCUCUGCUCUUCCUCCCUCUCUCUCUUCAUCUUCUGCACAUCCUCUCCUCCUCCUCCUCUCUCUCCUCUACUCUGCUUCAGAACUCUACUCAGUUUUAACUAUCCAUCUCCCAUACUCUUUCCUCCAUUAGCUAAAGAGAGGAAGAGAGAAGGGGGAGAGAGAGAGAGGUAGGGAGAGAGCUGAAUCAGGACAGAUAGCCUGUGGAAAUACUUUUGACAGCAGAGUCCCAAACAUAAAAGCAUCACUACAUUGUUCUGCUUAUAUAGUCUCUCUCUCCACAACGCACUUUCUCUCUCUCUCUUUUCUUUUUCUUUGUCUCGCUCUCUUUGUCGGUGUGUGUGUGUGUGUGUGUGUGUGUGUGUGUGUGUGUGUGUGUGUGUGUGUGUGUGUGUGUGUGUGUGUGUGUGUGUCUGUCUCUCUCUCUCUCUCUCUCUCUCUCUCUCUCUCUGUCUCUGUCUCUGUCUCUGUCUCUCCCUCCCUCUCGGCAUCUCUCAUUCUGAUGCACCAAGCUUCCCCAGUGGCCAAUAAGGAGACAGAAGCACAGAAUUUUAUCACACAAACAAACACACACACACACA